rnacentral:lncRNA from 1 species
GCUGGGGAGGCAUCAGGAAACUUACAGUCAUGGUGAAAGGCAAAGGGGAAGUGAGGCCCUCUUACAUGGUGGCAGGAGAGAAAAAGAGCAAAGCGACAACUGCCAAACAUUUUUAAACCAUCAGAUCUCAUGAGAACUCACUCACUAUCAUGAGACCAGCGUGUGGGAAACCGCCCCCAUGAUCCAGUCACCUCCCAGGAAGUCCCUACCCUGACACAAGGGGACUACAGUUCAAGAUGAAAUUUAGAUGGGGACACAGAAUCAAACCAUAUCAAUACUUUUUCUUUUUUCUUUUAUUUCUUAAUUGAUGUAUAAUGAUUGUACACAUUUAUGGGGUACAUAGUGCUGUACAUGUAACGUUUAGUGAUCAGAUCUCAAACGUUUAUUAUUUUUUGUGUUGAGAACAUUUGAUAUCCUCCUAGCCAUUUGACACUAUGUAUUAUUACUAAUUAUAGUCAUCCUACAGUGAAAUAAAACACUGGAACUUGUUUCUCCUAUCUAGCUGUAACUUUGUAUCCUUUCAAAAAUUCUCUCAUCAUCCUCCUUCCUCUUACCCUUCCCAGCCUCAGGUAUCUUCUAUACUACUUUUUACUUCUAUGAAAUCAACUUUUUGUAUACUUUUUAUUAAAGAAGUUCUACAAAAUUGCAUAAACAUAGGCCCUACAAAACCUGGAUCCAUCUGUAAUAUCAGGCAUCCCUUUGGAAGAAUAUUUUUGCUGCAAUGUCCUCUAGAAGGAGUUGAGAAGCAGGAGAAGAAAAGACAUGAGGCCCUAGCCUUCCCUAGGUUGGUCCUGGUCCUGCC